AGGAUAAACGCUGGCGGCGUGCCUAACACAUGCAAGUCGAACGUCCUACGCAAGUAGGGAGUGGCGGACGGGUGAGUAACACGUGGGCAAUCUACCUUUCGGUGAGGAAUACCGGCGAGAAAUCGCCGACAAUACCGCAUACGCUUCGCAAGAAGCAAAGUCGCAAGACGCCGGAGGAGGAGCCUGCGCCCGAUUAGCUCGUUGGUGGAGUAAUGGUCUACCAAGGCGACGAUCGGUAGCUGGUCUGAGAGGAUGAUCAGCCACACUGGGAUUGAGAACGGCCCAGACCCCUACGGGGGGCAGCAGUGAGGAAUCUUGCGCAAUGGGCGAAAGCCUGACGCAGCAACGCCGCGUGGAGGACGAAGGCUUUCUGAGUUGUAAACUCCUUUCAGCAGGGACGAUUGUGACGGUACCUGCAGAAGAAGCACCGGCAACUACGUGCCAGCAGCCGC
rnacentral:rRNA from 1 species